CUUCAUGAGUUGCCGUCGCCAAGCUCCGACUUGAUGGCACGCCAACCCCACGCUCGUGGGUGGCUCGGAUGACGAAGCGGCCCGCACCGGCCGGUGUCGGGGCAAGAGCGCCUC
rfam:Mycobacterium kumamotonense strain Roo Mkuma_contig000145, whole genome shotgun sequence.